UCACCCUAUCUCUAUCUCUCUGUACUAUAUUGUUACCAGCAUUCAGAUCUUCUGUGUUUGUUUUACAUUCAUACAGAUUGGGAGAUGUUGUCAUGGCAUGCAAGUACAAAUUCAAUUGAUGUAUCAUUUUGCUUUAUCUUCUCUUUCUGUGGAGACAUAAGGGCGGCCAUGAAUUUCGACGUCAUUCCAGGCUAACUCUGCAGAACAUGUGAUUUCAGGCUAACUCUGUGGGAAGCCAACAGGAAGGGGAACUGAUUAACGUUAUCAUUCAAAAUCACAGGUCUCAGCAUAAGGUCAAAUCCAUCCAAAAAGAAACGAACAUCAAAACAGGAAGGAUCCGAAAAUCAACAAAGGCAAUAAGGCCAUGACAAAUUCUUUAUUCAAACCAUCCAAUGGUGCAUAUGCCAGUUUUGAAUAACAAAAUACCAUAUUUAAGUUUCACUGGAGAAGGCAAUCCUAUCAGGUUAGAAGACAAAUGGAAGUGGGGCAGAGUUCAAACUCUGUAUCAUCAGCCAAAUGCAAAGAGGUUGCUGUUUCCUAUGAAAAGGGAAAGGAGCAUGAAA